ensembl:lncRNA
AGACGCUUGCCGGAAUGGACUCCUGACCAGGAUCCAGACCAGACACCCACCACCGUCACCCAAGCCAGGGGCACCUGCCCUCCCCUCCGCGCAGAAUGAACUCUGCCCAGCAUGUCCUUCCUGAGACCACUUACUUCCAAGUUGGAAUCUCCAGCUGACGCUCCUAGUGGACAGGAGGGUCUGCGCUCGGGCUUCAAAGGAAGACGGGAAGCAAGUUUACUGGCAUCUCCACGGGAUGUUUUUGGCAAAUGUUUUGAAGAAUGGCGUUCAGAUCUGACUGUUAACAGCCUAUGGCACCUGGGCAAGAUCUCUUUGAGUUCACAGUUCCUCUCAUCAUUUUGGAGGGCUGGGGAUCUUCACACCAUCCAGUCCUCCAGGAAGUCCCAUUCACCGCUGUCCUCUCUACUGUUCAGGUGUCAAAUUAAGCAUGUUUCAGGAUCAUGACGACUCAGUCUUAAAGCUGCCUCCUGGUCACUGUUUACUUCAUUACGUUCUGUUACUUCUCUGCAGAGCCCUUCUUAGUACCUGACAUUUUACCAUUUAUUUAUUUACUUAUUUUUCUAUCUCACACACUAGGUUUUAAGCUUUGUCAGCCUUAUUAUUCUAUCCUUGGCACCUAACAUAGUGCUGGC